GUAGGUGAACCUGCGGAGGGAUCAUUACAAGAACGCCCGGGCUUCGGCCUGGUUAUUCAUAACCCUUUGUUGUCCGACUCUGUUGCCUCCGGGGCGACCCUGCCUUCGGGCGGGGGCUCCGGGUGGACACUUCAAACUCUUGCGUAACUUUGCAGUCUGAGUAAACUUAAUUAAUAAAUUAAAACUUUUAACAACGGAUCUCUUGGUUCUGGCAUCGAUGAAGAACGCAGCGAAAUGCGAUAAGUAAUGUGAAUUGCAGAAUUCAGUGAAUCAUCGAAUCUUUGAACGCACAUUGCGCCCCCUGGUAUUCCGGGGGGCAUGCCUGUUCGAGCGUCAUUUCACCACUCAAGCCUCGCUUGGUAUUGGGCAACGCGGUCCGCCGCGUGCCUCAAAUCGUCCGGCUGGGUCUUCUGUCCCCUAAGCGUUGUGGAAACUAUUCGCUAAAGGGUGUUCGGGAGGCUACGCCGUAAAACAACCCCAUUUCUAAGGUUGACCUCGGAUCAGGUAGGGAUACCCGCUGAACUUAA
rnacentral:rRNA from 1 species